UGUGCCGCUUGAAUUGGCUUGGGUAACAGAAGAAUUGAGCAUGGAGACAUUGGGAUAUUUUUGGUAAGCAUAAGCUAGUAUGGCUGAUUUCUGUACCAAGGAAAUAAACUAAAACUGUAACCAAAACUAGAACUAGUGUUGCAGUAAGUGGCUAGAAUAAAAAGAGGCAAUAUAGCUUUAUCAGAGGGAAGUUGUACUUCAAAAACCUAUUAGAGUCCUUUAUGAUGAGUAUAUGAAAGCAAACAAGGAGCUGGGAGGGGUGCAGUUUGGUUUUCAAAACACUUUUGGCCAGGCCCCUCAGUAAAGGCUCAUAAAAAAUUAAGUUUCUGAUGAACCAAGAGACAAAAUCUGUGGCUUAGUAACUGUUUAAAAGCUGCGCAGCAGUGGAUAAAAAUACAACUGUAUUCACAACAAAUAUUUGUUACAAUUUCACCAUUAUUGGUCUUUUAUUACUAAGUGAUGCUGAAAAGGUGAAGAAUAUAAUACAGUGAUGAGGCUUACUGAUUACAGUAAGUUCUUUGGGAUACUAAAAUCAAAAGCCAGCUGUAAAGUGUUGCAGAAGGACACUACAAAUUGCCGAAUAAGAAAAAAGCUAGCAAAAUUAAGUUAGCUUAAACAAAUCCUAACUUUUCCACACAGGCUAAUGUUUUCUGAAUAUCACUACCAUUCAAGAAAGAGGCUAUGGAAUCCUUUUGGCCAGUUUGAUUAAAAUAGUCACAGUUCAAAGGUUACAAGGAGGAGCAAGAGGAGUGAUCAAAGUUGUGAAACCUUUCCAUCUGAGGAAAUAGUAAAUGAAAAGUAAACAGACCAAGAUGUUUCUAUUUGGAGAAAGGGUAUGUAAGGGGAUACUAUGGAAGAAAUAUAUAAAACGGUGAGUGGUAUUAGGGCAUAGAGGGAAAAAUCAUGUACAGUU